AUGGCCGUUUAUUUUCUGUGAUACGUCCCGGUCGCACGUUAACAUACCGUACACGAAAUAAAAUCCGUCGCUCGUCACGGUACAACCGAUAUGCACGUAUCAACAAAGAGGUGUGUUAUCUCUGAUUCCUCGUUCGGGACUGAAACCUAACACGUCUGUCCAAACCUGAUACGGCCCCAAGGAAGGUAGCAUCCCGCGUGCAGUAAAUCUAAAAAAACCUGUUAUCUAAUCGAUGAAAAACCACGUUGAGCUGAGCACAGACGAAAAAUGCAAGUAAAAUGAAAAAAAUCGAAUCCGAUAGAAUAUUUCGCGGUACAAAUUUUCGCGAUCGAAUUUCCGGUUAGUUUAGACGUGACUUCGGUAUAGUAAACAAAUGAAAGAAAAUGCACCGAGAUGAUUUGGGCAUGGGGCGCAGUGUAAGCGUUGUAACGAGUAUAAACGUAGAGCGAAAGAGGGGAUGAGGAAUACCGAAAAAGAGGUGGUCGGAUGCGAUUGACAAACGAUGCGAGAACUAUGCGGAGGAUCGAGCCGAGUGGGAGUUUAGGACCCACACUGUAGUCGGGACGAAGAAA